GUAUUCUCAAUUUUAUAUCAUAUUUUAGUGACGGCAACAAAGUUUCAGAACCCAUCUGUCGAGUGGAUCCAGUCGGCACGAGAGAAUUCCUGACAUGCUCUACACGUUCUAAGAGUCCUUGUUUACCCGUCCUCCAUCAAGUAUUAAGGGUGGAGAAAAACCAAACUAAUAUGCGAGAAACAGGCAAAGAAGUAUUCCAAUAAAUACGACUCUAAUAUAAUCAGACAAGGAAUAACAGUGAGUACCCACUGUUUAGUAAUAAUUGAGGAAAAGGUUUUAAGGUGGAGGGAACAUGAGCUACAUGCUUUAAACAAGUGGCUGUCUGGACUUCUCUGACCCAAGCCCUGGUAAUGGGUGCAGUACCCGCAAGGUAUGGAUUUCGAGUAUAUUAAUUCAUCUGAAGACUACAUUAGAGAAGGUAAGAAAAGGCAAAUUAUUAAAAUGUAAAGGUUAAAAAAAUCCCAGGCACUGAAAUACUGUGAAUUUAAACAUUACAAGGUAACUAAAAUUUUCAGCCUCUUUAAUAAAUCAUUUGCUAUGGGAAAAUAUAUAUAGUAGAUCGAGAGAUACAUAUAUGAUGAGGUAUACAAAAGUACAUAAAUACAUUGACAUAUGUAUGUAUGAAUGUAUAUGCAUUUACACGUAAAGCUAAAAAUUCACAUUGACUUUACAAAUAUCGUUACCACUGUGAUGGCUUGUUUAUUAAGCAUAUUAUACUUUAUAAUAUAUCUAAAUACAUGGUUUUAGAUAUAGAUUUGACUGUAAAUGAAGCUGCACUGCUUUAUUUCAGUGUGGCAUGUACAAAGACAGGAUUUUUUCUCCUUUCUAGCUAAAUGUGGCUUGAAGAAAAAAACCGGCCUAUGCAAAGAAAAAUGAGUCAUGAUUCAGCUCUCUGUUUGCAUAUGAACUGGUUUGCAGUAAAAAGAAGGACAAGAAUAAAAAGCAGUGCCUUUAUGUGCAUUAAUUAAGCCUGUUACAGAAAGAUGGCAGUGUUAUUGUUUAGGGCCAAUAUUUUCACCUUAUUUAUAGUGUAAUACUCUGUCUGAGCCUAAAAGUAAAACCCACACCCCUCACUGUAUGGAGGCCAGUAAGUCUGAUCACAGGACCCAAACUCUCCAACACAGGGUGUGGGAUGUGACUGAGGGCACAUCUCCCCCCUAUUUCACACUGAAUCCUCUAAGACAUGAAACCCCCUGCUCUGAAAAGGACUUUUUAAUCUUCCUUCAGCACAGCAGAUAAUAUUUAGCACAUUAGCUAAAAUGUUUCCCUAAAAUGGCAACACACAAGGGAUUCUUAUGUCACCAAACAGUUGGUGAGAUGUCAUCAUUUCAACCCUGUCUCUUGCUGGUUACAGAUGGAGGUACAAAAAGUGAGUGGAAGAAAAAAUAAAUAAUAUUGCAUCAUCCUGUGGUGGCUUCAGAGGAAGACCAGAACGCACAGAAAUCCCAUUUCGUGGCCUUCAGAAUUAACUCAGUCAGUUCUAGAUUAAAAAGAAAUGUAGGCAUGAAAGAAAACAGAGGAGCAAGCCUUAAAACAGGACAUGAUUGUUUCCCGUCUGGAAAAGACUGCACUAGAUCAUGGAGAAGGACAGGAAUCCUGAAGCCCUCCACGGACGGAGGUCAGUAACGCAAGGGCUAGGAAGGAGGAGGGGCUUUGGCCUCCACACAGUUGAUACGUUGAUUCUACGGAGAAAGGAAGUCCUACUCCUGCCAUUGUCUGGGACUGAAUCAUAACAAGGUCUCUGAUUACUGCCAGAAGAAAAGAAAUUUGGGGUCAAAGAAGCGCUAUUUGCUUCAUGACCUUAUUGACAGGUUAUUCUGCAAUAGACGUAACAAGGAUAAAAGAACAUUAACUCCAGAUUCUACAGGAAGCCCUAAGUUCAUCAGAAACUUACCAAUAUAAAAAGAAGAUGGGGACGGUAUUUCUUCAUAACAAAUGAUGGUCUAUGAAGAGAAAAACAGUAAGACACUGAAUGCAACACAAGAGCCAAAUCAUUAAGACGGCACGGCCUUUCUUAAGAGCGAUUUGGUAACUCCUUUCAACAGCCUUUAAAAAUGUGAGCGUCCUUUGACUCAGCGACUUCACAACUAGGAAUCUGUUGUAAGAAAACAGUCGUGGAUCCACUUGUCAAUUUAGAUAUGAUUUAUAAGCAUUACUUUUAAGGACCAAAAAAAAAAAAAAAAAGAAAGAAAGAAACAAAAUGGGAUCAAAUAAUGAGCAACAGAAAACAUUUCUCUACUGUCUCUCCCUCAGGGGAAGUAACGGAACAACCUGAAUCACUAUUUAAGAUGCAGCACAGAACACAACACAGACCUGCAUUCAAAUCCUGCCUCUACGACUUGUAUAUUUGGAAAUGUUUAGAAUAAUAAGGUACCUGAGAUUUAUUUUUGCACAUGGUAUGAGAAGGACAGCGAAAAUUAUUUUCUUCUGGAAGUACGGUGAGUUACGCCAAUGAUGAUUUAUUUACUAAAUAAACCAUCUUUUCUGAACUGAUUUUUGCAGGUUUAUCAUAAAUCAGAUCUUCAUAUAUACUUGAACCUCUAAUCGAUUCAAUAGAUCUAUUUCAAUGUUAAUGCAUAUUGAUUUAAUUGUGGGAAAUUUAUAGUACAUGGUUUACAGUGGUCCCUCAAUAAAGUAUUUCAAGAUCGGGGAGACAAAUCCUUGGAUCUGUUAUUCCAUUGGUUCUUUAGAAAUAAUAAGAGGAUGGUGGGAGAAACUGGUUAUGCUUUUUCUCAAACAUCCUUCAACAAGAGUGUGUGCACGGACAAGAUCAGAGACGGUUCCGAGAAGGAAACGGCCAGGUGGAAGGAAAGGAAGGAAGCAAAAAGCCACUUUCUAAGGCUGAGGGGUAUCUGAGUCUUACAAGAGUGUUAAAGUCUCCUUGUAUCUUAAUUUAAUAUUCUUUGUUUUCCAUCCUUACUUCCUUUAGAGAAGCUAUAGUUCUAGCCAAAAGGGUAAGGUUAUGAAGUGGUCCAAAAGCAAGUCAAGGGAGUUCCCUGGUGACUCAGUGGGUUGGGGAUCCGGCAUUGCUGCU
rnacentral:lncRNA from 1 species